GAUGAACGCUGGCGGCGUGCCUAAUACAUGCAAGUCGAGCGAACAGACGAGGAGCUUGCUCCUCUGACGUUAGCGGCGGACGGGUGAGUAACACGUGGAUAACCUACCUAUAAGACUGGGAUAACUUCGGGAAACCGGCGCUAAUACCGGAUAAUAUAUUUAACCGCAUGGUUCAAUAGUGAAAGACGGUUUUGCUGUCACUUAUAGAUUGAUCCGCGCCGCAUUAGCUAGUUGGUAAGGUAACGGCUUACCAAGGCAACGAUGCGUAGCCGACCUGAGAGGGUGAUCGGCCACACUGGAACUGAGACACGGUCCAGACUCCUACGGGAGGCAGCAGUAGGGAAUCUUCCGCAAUGGGCGAAAGCUUGACGGAGCAACGCCGCGUGAGUGAUGAAGGUCUUCGGAUCGUAAAACUCUGUUAUUAGGGAAGAACAAAUGUGUAAGUAACUAUGCACGUCUUGACGGUACCUAAUCAGAAAGCCACGGCUAACUACGUG
rnacentral:rRNA from 1 species